CUCUCCUUAGCUCAGUUGGAAGAGCGUGAGACUGUAAUUGGUUGCGAAUUGUGUAUCUCAAGGUCCUUGGUUCGAUCCCGAGAGGGGAGA